UGAACCGCAAAUUCGAUAACAAAUAUUCGGAACUACUAACUCAUGAACAAAAUACACAGCUGUAACAACUAUGAAAAUGUAAACAACAAAGAUCGGGCCCCGGUUCCGGACCCAGCGUACCCGCCCUACCAUGAGACGAUCACCUCCACUCGUCUCCCUCAUUUUGGCCACUAAAUGGCCUAUAUUAGCCCGUGUCGGCCAUAAUGCCCACUCUCCCCAACAAUAUUAUUUUAGCCGGACAUGAUUUCUUUCAAUAGCUGUUUAGGAUCUCAUGCAAGCGGAUAAUUCAUUAACUUCACAGAAUUAAUUUUUUUUUUAUUUUUUUUACAACACUGAAUGGAACAGGCGACGAAAUACUACAAGGAUAUUGCUAGUCGCCGCAAAAGAAACGCGCACGGAGGCACUUUAGAGGCAAUCGUUGCGCCGAUUUAGGAACAAUGGCCCACACAAUUACUUAAAACUGGAGCUCUCUGGGGGUGGUAAAGGGCCAUAUAAAUGCGUAAAUUCAAAUUAGGUAAGUCUGUGAGCAUAGUUCGCGCAAGUGUUAAUUUUAGAUUUUUAUAUUUUACAGGCGCAGAUGCAUCACCUUUG